CGCUAGCUACAGGCUUAACACAUGCAAGUCGAGGGGCAGCAUGGUCUUAGCUUGCUAAGGCCGAUGGCGACCGGCGCACGGGUGAGUAACGCGUAUCCAACCUGCCUUACACUCUUGGACAGCCUUCUGAAAGGGAGAUUAAUACAAGAUGUUAUCAUGAGUAAGCAUUUUCACAUGAUUAAAGGUUUACCGGUGUAAGAUGGGGAUGCGUUCCAUUAGAUAGUAGGCGGGGUAACGGCCCACCUAGUCUUCGAUGGAUAGGGGUUCUGAGAGGAAGGUCCCCCACAUUGGAACUGAGACACGGUCCAAACUCCUACGGGAGGCAGCAGUGAGGAAUAUUGGUCAAUGGACGAGAGUCUGAACCAGCCAAGUAGCGUGAAGGAUGAAGGUUCUAUGGAUUGUAAACUUCUUUUAUACGGGAAUAAACGGAUCCACGUGUGGAUUUUUGCAUGUACCGUAUGAAUAAGGAUCGGCUAACUCCGUGCCAGCAGCCGCGGUAAUACGGAGGAUCCGAGCGUUAUCCGGAUUUAUUGGGUUUAAAGGGAGCGUAGAUGGGUUGUUAAGUCAGUUGUGAAAGUUUGCGGCUCAACCGUAAAAUUGCAAUUGAUACUGGCGGUCUUGAGUACAGUUGAGGUAGGCGGAAUUCGUGGUGUAGCGGUGAAAUGCUUAGAUAUCACGAAGAACUCCGAUUGCGAAGGCAGCUUACUAACCUGUAACUGACAUUGAUGCUCGAAAGUGUGGGUAUCAAACAGGAUUAGAUACCCUGGUAGUCCACACGGUAAACGAUGAAUACUCGCUGUAGGCGAUAUACAGUCUGCGGCCAAGCGAAAGCAUUAAGUAUUCCACCUGGGGAGUACGCCGGCAGCGGUGAAACUCAAAGGAAUUGACGGGGGCCCGCACAAGCGGAGGAACAUGUGGUUUAAUUCGAUGAUACGCGAGGAACCUUACCCGGGCUUAAAUUGCAACCGAAUGUGGCGGAAACGCUAUAGCUAGCAAUAGCGGUUGUGAAGGUGCUGCAUGGUUGUCGUCAGCUCGUGCCGUGAGGUGUCGGCUUAAGUGCCAUAACGAGCGCAACCCUUGCCGAUAGUUACUAACAGGUCAUGCUGAGGACUCUGUCGGGACUGCCAUCGUAAGAUGUGAGGAAGGUGGGGAUGACGUCAAAUCAGCACGGCCCUUACGUCCGGGGCUACACACGUGUUACAAUGGGGGGUACAGAGGGCUGCUACCACGCAAGUGGAUGCCAAUCCCAAAAACCUCUCUCAGUUCGGAUUGAAGUCUGCAACCCGACUUCAUGAAGCUGGAUUCGCUAGUAAUCGCGCAUCAGCCACGGCGCGGUGAAUACGUUCCCGGGCCUUGUACACACCGCCCGUCAAGCCAUGGGAGCCGGGGGUACCUGAAGUGCGUAACCGCAAGGAGCGCCCUAGGGUAAAACUGGAGA
rnacentral:rRNA from 1 species